rnacentral:rRNA from 1 species
UACGUAGGGGGCAAGCGUUAUCCGGAAUUACUGGGUGUAAAGGGAGCGUAGACGGUAAUGUAAGUCUGGAGUGAAAGGCGGGGGCCCAACCCCCGGACUGCUCUGGAAACUAUGUUACUAGAGUGCAGGAGAGGUAAGCGGAAUUCCUAGUGUAGCGGUGAAAUGCGUAGAUAUUAGGAGGAACACCAGUGGCGAAGGCGGCUUGCUGGACAGUAACUGACGUUGAGGCUCGAAAGCGUGGGGAGCAAACAGG